CUCAAAUGGAGAAUUCUUUGAUGGUGACUGAAGUGUAAACAUAUAGCCACUUGACACCUGCUUCAAAUCACCAGUCACGUUUUCUUGUUGGAAAGAUACUCAUCGGAGAAUCACCGUGGGCAAAAAUGGAAGCAAAUCAAGAUAUUAAGAACACCCCACUGGCCGGCAGUCCCCCAAGCUUCAGCAGAGGGCAUUCCAGACAGUGCCUUUUAGCCAGAAACCAGAAGAUCCAGCCCGCCCUCCGUGUCUCGGCUGCUCCUUAAGUCACUGCAACCCCUCCAAAUUAAUGUAGAGGCUGUCUGUUGUCAGUACAUUUCUUGGGGAGUGAAAGGGGACUCACACCUGGAGGUACAGACUGUUGGUUGACGGCACUCACAGACCUGAGCUAGGAUGGGGAAGGAGCAAAGCCUCUGGGCACUGGCUCUGUGUGAAAAUGGCCCAGUAAUUAUCCUGGGAUUCAUCGUAUUGUCUUUUGUGUUCCAUAAGUUGAAUGACUAUGCCGUUUUUCCAAAAAUUUAUGUCUGACCUGAGAAUAAGUAUGUCAUGGUUUUCCCAGUGUUAAGACACUGAUGUGACUGUAGACAUGACAUUUGAUAUAGUGUCUGUGACACAUUUUCGUAUGUAUGAGCCCACAAUAGAUAUGUCUUUGUCUUGAGUAGUGUCCAUCUGAAUUGAAAAUGUGCCAACUGUUUUUUAACAUCAUCAACAGACUUCUUAAUUAAGCUGCCAGUACAUACUGCCAAUAGCAGUGUGUGCCCGUUGAGAAAUGAAUUGUAUAAGUGCUGUGUCCUUAAGAAAUAAACAGUGUUGCUCCUUAUAGACUGGAUUUAAA